rnacentral:sRNA from 1 species
ACUAAACCCGAAACCGUAAACCCUAAACCAUAAACUCUUAACCCUAAACCCUUAAACCUAAACCCUAAACCAUAGAUCCCAAACUUUAAAACCAAAAUCCAACUUUAGGCUUCAGGAAUCCGGUUGCGGUUCUAGUUCUUAUGCUCAAUGAUACAUAAAGCAUCUAGUCAAAUUUGACUAAAAAUCCGCUAGCAAAGCUUCUUCUUUAUUCCCAAAGCUUUGAUGGUGAAGCCGAAAUUCUUAUGAGUUUUUGGUGUUUUGAAUCGUUUAACAAGGAAGCACUACUUUACUUUUCGAGAUCUGGUUGAGGUUCUAGUUUUCUAUUCAAUCAUACACAGGACAUGUAGUCAUAUUUCACUCUGAAACGCUAACCAAGAUUCUUCUUGCUUCUUAGAAUAUUAUAGUAUCUUUGCUCCUAACCACGAAACCUAAACUCUACACCAUAAAUCCCAAAACCUAAAAUCUUACCCCUAAACCUGAAAACCCUAGCUAAACCCUAAACCCUAACCCUAAACCAUAAA